GUGCCUAAUACAUGCAAGUCGAACGCUUCUUUCCUCCCGAGUGCUUGCACUCAAUUGGAAAGAGGAGUGGCGGACGGGUGAGUAACACGUGGGUAACCUACCCAUCAGAGGGGGAUAACACUUGGAAACAGGUGCUAAUACCGCAUAACAGUUUAUGCCGCAUGGCAUAAGAGUGAAAGGCGCUUUCGGGUGUCGCUGAUGGAUGGACCCGCGGUGCAUUAGCUAGUUGGUGAGGUAACGGCUCACCAAGGCCACGAUGCAUAGCCGACC
rnacentral:rRNA from 1 species